rnacentral:misc_RNA from 1 species
GAUGAAGAACGCAGCGAAAUGCGAUAAGAAGUGUGAAUUGCAGAAUUCAGUGAAUCAUCGAAUCUUUGAACGCACAUUGCGCCCUUUGGUAUUCCAAAGGGCAUGCCUGUUCGAGCGUCAUUUGUACCCUCAAGCUUUGCUUGGUGUUGGGCGUCUUGUCUCUAGCUUUGCUGGAGACUCGCCUUAAAGUAAUUGGCAGCCGGCCUACUGGUUUCGGAGCGCAGCACAAGUCGCACUCUCUAUCAGCAAAGGUCUAGCAUCCAUUAAGCCUUUUUUUCAACUUUUGACCUCGGAUCAGGUAGGGAUACCCGCUGAACUUAAGCAUAUCAAUAAGCGGAGGA